GCGGGUGUAGCUCAGUUGGUAGAGCGUCAGCCUUCCAAGCUGAAUGUCGCCGGUUCGAGCCCGGUCGCCCGCUCCA
rnacentral:tRNA from 1 species